rnacentral:rRNA from 1 species
GGAGUUUGGACCGUGUCUCAGUUCCAAUGUGGGGGACCUUCCUCUCAGAACCCCUACCGAUCGCUGCCUUGGUGGGCCGUUACCCCGCCAACUAGCUAAUCGGACGCAUGCCCAUCUGUAACCGAAAAAAUCUUUGGUCCGGGUCAGAUGCCCUCGCUGGACCACAUCGGGCAUUAAUCCGGUUUUCACCGGGCUAUUCCCAAGUUAAGGGAAGGUUGGAUACGCGUUACUCACCCGUGCGCCGGUCGCCAUCAUCGGUUGCAAGCAACCAACAUGCUGCCCCUCGACUUGCAUGUGUUAAGCCUGUAGCUAGCGUUCAUC